rnacentral:rRNA from 1 species
AUUGAACGCUGGCGGCAGGCCUAACACAUGCAAGUCGAACGAGUGGCGGACGGGUGAGUAAUGUCUGGGAAACCGCCCGAUGGAGGGGGAUAACUACUGGAAACAGUAGCUAAUACAGCAUACCAUCGGAUGAGCCCAGAUGGGAUUAGCUAGUAGGUGGGGUAACGGCUCACCUAGGCGACGAUCCCUAGCUGGGCUGAGAGGAUGAACAGCCACACUGGAACUGAGACACGGUCCAGACUCCUACGGGAGGCAGCAGUGGGGAAUAUUGCACAAUGGGCGAAAGCCUGAUGCAGCCAUGCCGCGGGUAUGAAGAAGGCCGUCGGGUUGUAAAGUACGUUCAGCGGGGAGGCGUUACUCGCAGAAGAAGCACCGGCUAACUCCGUGCCAGCAGCCGCGGUAAUUC